rnacentral:rRNA from 1 species
UGGGGAAUAUUGGGCAAUGGGGGGCAACCCUGACCCAGCAACGCCGCGUGAAGGAAGAAGGCUUUCGGGUUGUAAACUUCUUUUGUCAGGGACGAAGAGAGUGACGGUACCUGACGAAUAAGCCGCGGCUAACUACGUGCCAGCAGCCGCGGUAAUACGUAGGUGGCAAGCGUUGUCCGGAUUUACUGGGUGUAAAGGGCGCGUAGGCGGGUAUGCAAGUCAGAUGUGAAAUGUAGGGGCUUAACCCCUGAACUGCAUUUGAAACUGUGUAUCUUGAGUAUCGGAGAGGCAGGCGGAAUUCCUAGUGUAGCGGUGAAAUGCGUAGAUAUUAGGAGGAACACCAGUGGCGAAGGCGGCUUUCUGGACUGUUACUGACACUGAGGCACGAGAGUGUGGGGAGCAAACAGGAUUAGAUACCCUGGUAGU